GACGAACGCUGGCGGCGUGCUUAACACAUGCAAGUCGAACGAAGAGCGAUGGAAGCUUGCUUCUCUCAAUCUUAGUGGCGAACGGGUGAGUAACGCGUAAUCAACCUGCCCUUCAGAGGGGGACAACAGUUGGAAACGACUGCUAAUACCGCAUACGAUCUAAUCUCGGCAUCGAGGAGAGAUGAAAGGUGGCCUCUACAUGUAAGCUAUCACUGAAGGAGGGGAUUGCGUCUGAUUAGCUAGUUGGAGGGGUAACGGCCCACCAAGGCGAUGAUCAGUAGCCGGUCUGAGAGGAUGAACGGCCCCAUUGGGACUGAGACACGGCCCAGACUCCUACGGGAGGCAGCAGUGGGGAAUCCUCCGCAAUGGAAGAAAGUCUGACGGAGCAACGCCGCGUGAGUGAUGACGGCCUUCGGGUUGUAAAGCUCUGUUAAUCGGGACGAAAGGCCUUCUUGCGAAUAGUGAGAAGGAUUGACGGUACCGGAAUAGAAAGCCACGGCUAACUACGUG
rnacentral:rRNA from 1 species